UACGGAGGGUGCGAGCGUUGUCCGGAAUCACUGGGCGUAAAGGGCGCGUAGGCGGCCUGAUAAGUAGGGGGUGAAAUCCUGCGGCUUAACCGCAGGGCUGCCUUCUAAACUGUCAGGCUUGAGCACAGUAGAGGCAGGUGGAAUUCCCGGUGUAGCGGUGGAAUGCGUAGAGAUCGGGAAGAACACCCGUGGCGAAGGCGCCGCUCUGGGCCGAGACUGACGCUGAGGAGCGAAAGCGUGGGUAGCAAACAGG
rnacentral:rRNA from 1 species